rnacentral:rRNA from 1 species
GAUGAACGCUGGCGGCGUGCCUAAUACAUGCAAGUCGAGCGAACAGACGAGGAGCUUGCUCCUCUGACGUUAGCGGCGGACGGGUGAGUAACACGUGGAUAACCUACCUAUAAGACUGGGAUAACUUCGGGAAACCGGAGCUAAUACCGGAUAAUAUAUUGAACCGCAUGGUUCAAUAGUGAAAGACGGUUUUGCUGUCACUUAUAGAUGGAUCCGCGCCGCAUUAGCUAGUUGGUAAGGUAACGGCUUACCAAGGCAACGAUGCGUAGCCGACCUGAGAGGGUGAGCGGCCACACUGGAACUGAGACACGGUCCAGACUCCUACGGGAGGCAGCAGUAGGGAAUCUUCCGCAAUGGGCGAAAGCCUGACGGAGCAACGCCGCGUGAGUGAUGAAGGUCUUCAGAUCGUAAAACUCUGUUAUUAGGGAAGAACAAAUGUGUAAGUAACUAUGCACGUCUUGACGGUACCUAAUCAGAAAGCCACGGCUAACUACGU